rnacentral:pre_miRNA from 1 species
CAAAUACUCCCUCCGUUCCGAAUUACUCGUCGCAGAAAUGGAUGUAUCUAGAUGUAUUUAAGUUCUAGAUACAUCCAUUUCUGAGACGAGUAAUUUGGAACGAAGGGAGUACAUG